GCUGUAGCGCAAUGGGUAGCGCUUUGGACUUCUAAUCCAAAGGUCGUGAAUUCCACCUGGGAUA